rnacentral:ncRNA from 1 species
AAAUAAAUUUUUAUAGUUUUAUAAUUUUAUUAUAAAUUUAUUUUGCAUAUAAAUUUUAGUGUUAAUUUUUAAUUAUUUUAAUAAUAUUUAUAUUUAUUUGUAGUAAUUAAUUUUAAAAAUUUAAGAAAUUAAGAUUUAGUAAUAUUUAAAUUAAUAACAAAUUUUGUGCCAGCAGUUGCGGUUAAACAAAAAUUAAAUUAAAAUUUAUUAGUAAUUAAUAAAUAAUAUAUUUAUUUAAUUAAAUAUUAAAUUAUUAAGUGAAAUUUUAAUUUAAUUAAAAUUAAUUUAUAAAUUAUAAUUUAAUAAAUUUUUUAAUUAAACUAGGAUUAGAUACCCUAUUAUUAAAAAUUUAAAUUUUAAUACUAAAAUAGUAUAUAAUUAUUUAUUGAAACUUAAAUAAUUUGGCGGUAUUUUAGUUCAUUUAGAGGAAUCUGUUUAAUAAUUGAUAAUCCACGAAUAAAUUUACUUAAUUUAAUAUUUUGUAUAUCGUUGUUAAAAAAAUAUUUUUAAUAAAAAAUAAUAUUUUAAAAUUAUAAUAAAAAUUUAAAUCAGAUCAAGAUGCAGAUUAUAAUUAAGAAUAUAAUGGAUUACAAUAAAUUUAUUUAUUAACUGAUAUAAGUUUUUAACAUUUUAUUGAAGGUGGAUUUAAAUGUAAUUUUAUUUAAUUUAUUAAAAUGAUUAAAAAUUAAAAUAUGUACAUAUUGCCCGUCGCUUUCAUAAAUAAAUUGAAAUAAGUCGUAACAAAGUAGAGGUACUGGAAAGUGUUUCUAGAAAUAA